UAAAUCUAGCCUCUACUCCUAAGAAGAUGG
rnacentral:piRNA from 1 species